UACGUAGGGUGCAAGCGUUAAUCGGAAUUACUGGGCGUAAAGCGUGCGCAGGCGGUUAUGCAAGACAGAUGUGAAAUCCCCGGGCUCAACCUGGGAACUGCAUUUGUGACUGCAUAGCUAGAGUACGGUAGAGGGGGAUGGAAUUCCGCGUGUAGCAGUGAAAUGCGUAGAUAUCGGGAGGAACACCUGUGGCGAAGGCGGCCCCCUGGUUGGAUACUGACGCUGAUACGCGAAAGCGUGGGGAGCAAACAGG
rnacentral:rRNA from 1 species